GACGAACGCUGGCGGCAUGCCUAAUACAUGCAAGUCGAGCGAACAGAUGAAGUGCUUGCACUUCUGACGUUAGCGGCGAACGGGUGAGUAACACGUAAGGAAUCUACCUAUAAGCGGGGGAUAACAUUCGGAAACGGGUGCUAAUACCGCAUAAUACCUUCUUUCGCAUGGAAGAAGAUUGAAAGACGGCUCUGCUGUCACUUAUAGAUGACCUUGCGGUGCAUUAGUUAGUUGGUGGGGUAACGGCCUACCAAGACGAUGAUGCAUAGCCGACCUGGGAGGGUGAUCGGCCACAUUGGGACUGAGACACGGCCCAAACUCCUACGGGAGGCAGCAGUAGGGAAUCUUCCGCAAUGGGCGAAAGCCUGACGGAGCAAUGCCGCGUGAGUGAAGAAGGCCUUCGGGUCGUAAAACUCUGUUAUAAGAGAAGAACAAAUUGUAGAGUAACUGCUACAGUCUUGACGGUAUCUUAUCAGAAAGCCACGGCUAACUACGUGCCAGCAGCCGCCGUAA
rnacentral:rRNA from 1 species